AUAAUUACCUGGCAGGGGAGAUACCAUGAUCACGAAGGUGGUUUCCCCAGGGCGAGGCUCACCCAUUGCACUCCGGGUGUGCUGCAAUUUCCCCAAAUGUGGGAAAAUCGACUGCAUAAUUUGUGGAAGUGGGGGACUGCAUUCAUGCUCUCCCCUG